rnacentral:misc_RNA from 1 species
AACUCUCAACCCCCCUGUUUUGUAAUGAGACGGGUGUGGGCUUGGAUCGUGGCUGUUUGUCGGUCUCUAAUCGAGCCGGCUCGGCUGAAAUACAUGAGCGACCACAUUGAACCAAUGACGGCUUGACUCGGCGUAAUAAUAUUACUCGCUGAGGACGUCUAGUAUUCAAACAGGCGCUUCUAAUGACUUAGCCCUUUAAGC